AGCAAUCACUGGAUAGUCAUAGGUGUCGAUGUCGGGAUGAACAUGGCAUGGAUUUGUGAUUCUGCAGAUUUUGACCCUCACACAUAUAAAGACUUCAUGUCAAUUCUCAUUACGGCAUUCAGGGCCUAUGUCAAGAAUCACAAAGGAAGGCAUGAUCCAGGUCUGGGGAGCCACUUGCGUUUCAAAUCUCUAUGUUCGUUUCCCAAGCAAAGGCCAGGGAGUCUGCAUUGUGGAUACUAUGUAUGUGCUUUCAUCAGUAACACAAAAGGCUACAGGAGACACCCUA